CACACACUGGUGGCUCGUAAGAAACUUUCGUUUGGGACGACGCCUCAUCGGCAGUGGCAGCAGCAGCACUAAAAGGCAAAAAGCCAACAGCGACUGCGCUGCCAUGUACACAGGUGUUUUGGCCAUUAUUUCGGUUUAUCGUUUGUAUUCACAGUAGAUUAUUUAAUACGCAGGUGGAUAAUUGCCACCCGAAAAGCUUCGGGUUACACUGUGAAAAGGACAAGUUGGGAAAGGUUUAAUCUCAUGAGGUCUUAAGGUAUUCCCCGAAUCGGAAUCUCAAGGACCAAACUGAACUGAUCUGAGAAAUGUAUGGAAAUGAAUUAUCGUGAUGGCCCAAUAAUCAAAUACUGCCCACAG